AUGUGGCUAGCACAGAGGAUCGGUUGCAACCGUUUGAUCAUUGAGUCUGAUAGCUUAACUGCGAUAGAGGCUGUGAAUCAACGGGAGGCCUUUGGACCUGAUGUUGUUGUGAUUACAGAGUGCAACCAUAUGCGACUAGAGUUUGCAUCAAUGUCAUGUGAUCAUUGCUUCAGAGAGUCUAACGAGGUGGAUGAUGCUUUAGCAAAACACUCCUUUAGUUCUAGAUGCUCUGAAGUUUGGGAAGAGUCUAUUCCUGAUUUUAUUUCUCCUUUUAUUGUAAAAGACCUAUCCAUUAUCUAA
rnacentral:rRNA from 1 species